rnacentral:rRNA from 1 species
GAUGAACGCUGGCGGCGUGCUUAACACAUGCAAGUCGAACGAGAAGUGAAGACGGAAACCUUCGGGCGGAAGGCUUUAUUUCGAGUGGCGGACGGGUGAGUAACGCGUGGGUAACCUGCCUCAUACAGGGGGAUAACAGUUGGAAACGACUGUUAAUACCGCAUAAGACCACAGCACCGCAUGGUGCGGGGGUAAAAACUCCGGUGGUAUGAGAUGGACCCGCGUUCGAUUAGCCAGUUGGCGGGGUAACGGCCCACCAAAGCGACGAUCGAUAGCCGAUCUGAGAGGAUGACCGGCCACAUUGGGACUGAGACACGGCCCAAACUCCUACGGGAGGCAGCAGUGGGGAAUAUUGCACAAUGGGGGAAACCCUGAUGCAGCGACACCGCGUGAGUGAAGAAGUAUUUCGGUAUGUAAAGCUCUAUCAGCAGGGAAGAAAAUGACGGUACCUGAGUAAGAAGCCCCGGCUAACUACGUG